UGCUUUACUGUUAGUUGCUUCACAAUAUGAAUAUUGACAAAUAGCUUGGCCAUGUGAUGCACUACACUUCCCUUGGUUGACUGCAUUAAGAACCAUCUUGUGGUCCCUGGAAAAGGAAUAGCAGACCAGGUUAUAACAAAUUGACUUAGGCAAAGCCAACCAGUUAUCUGGAAUUCCAUCUGGUCAGCUUGACCUGUUGGCUUACCCAUGUUCAUUGUUAUAGUACACACAGUCUUGGCAACGUUAUAGAGUGAGCUGUUUCGUAGCUUGUUUAUGUUGCUGAACCUGUUCCACUGAGUUCAUUUUUAUUGUUCAGUCACCAUUGUUAUGGACCAGAUCCACUUAAAAUAUUUUAAGAAAGUAACCUACACUCUAAUAUUUUCUUAUUUUAAAGGUAGAUGUGAAGUGUCGUGUUCCAGAUGUGACUGAUCAAACUACACAACGUUUAGCAAAACAAUUUAUUUAAACACUAUUGUUAAAAUAAAAACAAAAGAAAGAUCAAUAACUUAAUCAUAGGAAAACUUAACCAAAUAAUAAGGAAAGCACCUAUUACUGAUUAACUAUUCCAAUAUCGUAACUUCCCAUAAACACAUCCCUUAGCAAAAAGGCAAAUGCAGACAGAGAUUCUUACAUGCGGUUCUGCAAUCCAGGAGGAAAAAUACAAGAGUGUAGAGCAGCUAGGAAUCAUUCACUGAUGCUUCCAACUCUUGAGAUCCCAAAGACUUCUGAGUUACUGAAGAAACCAAAUUCCAAAAAUCUGGAUCUGUGAGAGCUGUCCACACCUAGGCUGCUUCCAUUGUUCCAAUUUUGAAAACCCUGAAGGCCUCACAAGCUGUUUACUGAAGCCACUUCAAGUAGCCAGUUUGGUACCUCUGUCUUACAACCUCUCUUCAAAGAAAAAGGGCAAAAUGACCUUUAAAGGUGACAGCAUCAUCACGCUACCUACUCCGUUGAGGCUCAGGUGAUGAUUGGUGUUGUUUGCAUCACCCAUCCACCCUAAUUCUGCUCUUCUUCUGGCUUCCCCUGUCCUUUAAUAUUCAAUUCGUGGCAAAGUGGAAUUUGCAUCAAAGCCAUCAUAUUUAUUUCUUGUCAUUUCAGUUUUCCUGCUGUGGUGUAAAUGGGCCUCAAGAUUUUGGACAGAAUUCCUCAUUUCACGAACUCUUCCCCAAUAUGCUGCUACCUGAAGCGUGUUGUAAGAAGAACAAUACAGUCCUUAUCUUCCUUGACAAGAAUAGAUGUUUUCAGGGAGGUGCUGGUUACAUAAACAGUAAGGGAUGUUUCUCAAUGAUUGCAGAGAAUUUUCGGAAUUAUGUUCAUCUGGUUGGAGCAUUCAGUAUAAUAGUGCUUUUAAUUGAGCUUGGCGCUAUGGCUUUUACUAUUUUUGUGUACCAGACCUAUAACUAAUAAUGACCAUUGUCAGGCAGAAGACACAUACUAAUCAUGACUGAACAAACAAAGAGGAGAAAGCAGACAUCAAGAAACACGUACUGGGCAAUGACUGGGUGGAUGUGCAGAGCCAGCUGUGAUUUAGCAAGAAUGCAUUUAAAUGACACGUGAAAUUGUUUGAAAAGGAAUGAAGCGAACCUUAAUAAUGAAAAUAAUGAAAAAGGACAGUCCAGCCAUUUUAUAUUGUCCACACAAUUAUUAUAAUUGUAAUUAUUAUAAUUAUAUUCUGUUUUGUCCUGUUAAGAAUGUGCUACUUAACCUUUUAACAGUGUUACUGCCCAUUUUGAAAUGGUUGUGUAAUGAGGUACAAAUGUAAUGUCGAGCUAAUUAUAUUACAGUGUAAUAGAUAUGUAUUGUGAUAUGAAUAUUCAUAUUUCUUCUAUUUGUGAUAUCUCAGUUGUAUUUUUGACUUUAAAGAUGAAGGUCUGCAGCUUUCCUUUUAAUUUAUUAUACCCCUCUAGUUUGCAAUUUAAACCUCCCCUCAAUCCCUCUUCCCACCUUUGUGCUUUUGAAGUGGUUGUGCAAACAACAGGCAUUAUAUGGGUCACCUGAUUCAUUUCUGUUUUCAUGCAACUCCCAAAACCCACACCCCAAAUCCCACUCCCCACCAUUGUGCCAAUCCAUGCCAGCCCUCCUCUACCUGUCAGUGAAAAUUCACUUUGUCAACCUCCCCAUACCAACUUGUUCGUUAGGGUAGAAGGUUGUUAUGUAAUGCUUGAUUUGUGACAGCAGAAAACAUUAAUAUUAUUAAUGCAGCAGUAACAAGCAACAACAACCCCAGUGUAUAUUUCCUGUUGUCAUUGUGGAAGCUGUGUUGUUUUCCAUAAACACUUUCUUAAUAGAGGGAGCUGUUCUAUUAUUGAGUCAUGCACUGGUCGUAUGUCACUUCCUUAGUUUGUGGAAGCUGGCUUUUCUACCAUGUGUAUGUAAGGUGGCAUGGUGGUCAGUGGUUAUUACUACCGCCACACAGCACCAGGGGCCCAGGUUCGAUUCCACCUCAGGUGACGAUCUGUGUGGAAUUUGCAGAUUCUGUCUG